rnacentral:rRNA from 1 species
UACGUAGGGGGCAAGCGUUGUCCGGAUUUAUUGGGCGUAAAGAGCUCGUAGGCGGUUUGUCACGUCUGCUGUGAAAUCCCGAGGCUCAACCUCGGGCCUGCAGUGGGUACGGGCAGACUGGAGUGCGGUAGGGGAGAAUGGAAUUCCUGGUGUAGCGGUGAAAUGCGCAGAUAUCAGGAGGAACACCGGUGGCGAAGGCGGCCCACUGGAUCGGUACUGACGCUGAGGUGCGAAAGCGUGGGGAGCAAACAGG